UUAAAUGAGACUCCUUAGAGUUUGCUUGGGAUCUACCAUACGUGCAUAUGCUAGCUCAUAUGUCUGGUCUACUAGUUAUCAGAUAUAGUAGGGAUCUGAUCAUUCCUCUAUUCAGUUUGAUGUCAAUUGAUUUUUUAGCCUUGUCUUUCUUGAGUUUAGUUGUCUGGCUAAUUAGAUCUACAAUGCUCUUUAAACUAUCAAACU
rnacentral:lncRNA from 1 species